UACGUAGGGUGCAAGCGUUGUCCGGAAUUAUUGGGCGUAAAGAGCUCGUAGGCGGUCUGUCGCGUCGGCUGUGAAAUCCCGGAGCUCAACUCCGGGUCUGCAGUCGAUACGGGCGGACUUGAGUACUGCAGGGGAGACUGGAAUUCCUGGUGUAGCGGUGAAAUGCGCAGAUAUCAGGAGGAACACCGGUGGCGAAGGCGGGUCUCUGGGCCGAUACUGACACUGAGGAGCGAAAGCGUGGGGGAGCGAACAGG
rnacentral:rRNA from 1 species